UAGUGGGUCAUUUUUGGCAAGCUAGAAACUGGCGAUGCGGGAUGAACCAAUCAUGGGGUUAAAGUGCAGGAAUAUAUGCUCAUUUAGACAUCACAAAAGGUAUUGGUUCAUCUAGACAGCAGGACGGUGGCCAUGGAAGUCGGCGUCUUCUAGGAAUGUGUAACAAUUCACCUUGCCGAAAUGAACUAAAAUAUAAAAAUAACGCGAAUUAAAUAAUUCUUUGCUUUGAUUACUUAAAAACCAUAUUUAUUUUGGCAA
rnacentral:ncRNA from 1 species